AAUUCGAUGCAACGCGAAGAACCUUACCAAGGCUUGACAUAUAGAGGAAACGUCUGGAAACAGUCGCCCCGCAAGGUCUCUAUACAGGUGGUGCAUGGUUGUCGUCAGCUCGUGUCGUGAGAUGUUGGGUUAAGUCCCGCAACGAGCGCAACCCUCGUUCUAUGUUGCCAGCACGUAAUGGUGGGAACUCAUGGGAUACUGCCGGGGUCAACUCGGAGGAAGGUGGGGAUGACGUCAAAUCAUCAUGCCCCUUAUGUCUUGGGCUUCACGCAUGCUACAAUGGCCGGUACAAAGGGCUGCAAUACCGUAAGGUGGAGCGAAUCCCAAAAAGCCGGUCCCAGUUCGGAUUGAGGUCUGCAACUCGACCUCAUGAAGUCGGAGUCGCUAGUAAUCGCAGAUCAGCAACGCUGCGGUGAAUACGUUCCCGGGUCUU
rnacentral:rRNA from 1 species